rnacentral:rRNA from 1 species
UACGUAGGGUGCAAGCGUUGUCCGGAAUUAUUGGGCGUAAAGAGCUCGUAGGCGGUCUGUCGCGUCGAAUGUGAAAACCCGGGGCUCAACCCCGGGCCUGCAUUCGAUACGGGCAGACUAGGGUUCGGUAGGGGAGUCUGGAAUUCCUGGUGUAGCGGUGAAAUGCGCAGAUAUCAGGAGGAACACCGGUGGCGAAGGCGGGUCUCUGGGCAACAACUGACGCUGAGGAGCGAAAGCGUGGGGAGCGAACAGG